UCUGGGCACCACAGUUCAAGAAGGACACUGACAAACUGGAACGUGUCCAGAGGAGGGCAACCAAAAUGGUCAAAGGCCUGGAAACGAUGCCUUAUGAGGAACGGCUAAGGGAGCUGGGCAUGUUUAGCCUGGAGAAGAGGAGGUUAAGGGGUGAUAUGAUAGCCAUGUUCAAAUAUAUAAAAGGAUGUCACAUAGAGGAGGGAGAAAGGUUGUUUUCUGCUGCUCCAGAGAAGCGGACAGGGAGCAAUGGAUCCAAACUACAAGAAAGAAGAUUCCAC